rnacentral:misc_RNA from 1 species
GAUGAAGAACGUAGCGAAAUGCGAUACUUGGUGUGAAUUGCAGAAUCCCGUGAACCAUCGAGUCUUUGAACGCACAUUGCGCCCCCUGGUAUUCCGGGGGGCAUGCCUGUCCGAGCGUCAUUGCUGCCCUCAAGCACGGCUUGUGUGUUGGGCCCCGUCCUCCGAUCCCGGGGGACGGGCCCGAAAGGCAGCGGCGGCACCGCGUCCGGUCCUCGAGCGUAUGGGGCUUUGUCACCCGCUCUGUAGGCCCGGCCGGCGCUUGCCGAUCAACCCAAAUUUUUUAUCCAGGUUGACCUCGGAUCAGGUAGGGAUACCCGCUGAACUUAAGCAUAUCAAUAAGCGGAGGA